rnacentral:rRNA from 1 species
UACAGAGGGGGCGAGCGUUGUUCGGAAUUACUGGGCGUAAAGGGCGCGUAGGCGGCCAACUAAGUCCGACGUGAAAUCCCUCGGCUCAACCGGGGAACUGCGUCUGAUACUGGAUGGCUUGAAUUCGGGAGAGGGAUGCGGAAUUCCAGGUGUAGCGGUGAAAUGCGUAGAUAUCUGGAGGAACACCGAUGGCGAAGGCGGCAUCCUGGACCGAGAUUGACGCUGAUGCGCGAAAGCCAGGGGAGCAAACGGG